CGGGAAGAGCUCAAAUUUAAAAUCUGGCGUGCCUCUGGCCGUCCGAGUUGUAGUCUGGAGAAGCGUUUUCCGUGUCGGACCGUGUACAAGUCCCUUGGAACAGGGCGUCAUAGAGGGUGAGAAUCCCGUCUUUGACACGGACUGCCGAUGCUCUGCGAUGCGCUCUCAAA
rnacentral:rRNA from 1 species